AACCGAUAAAGAUGCUCGGCGAUUUCUGACACCUCAUACAACGGCUGCUUCCGCAGCCUGAUUCUAACGCUGAGCUGAGGCUU